rnacentral:piRNA from 1 species
UAAAACCUGUACAGGUCAAGAAGUGACGCA